rnacentral:rRNA from 1 species
UACGGAGGGUGCAAGCGUUAUCCGGAUUCACUGGGUUUAAAGGGUGCGUAGGUGGGAAGGUAAGUCAGUGGUGAAAUCCCCGAGCUUAACUUGGGAACUGCCAUUGAUACUAUCUUUCUUGAAUACCUUGGAGGUGAGCGGAAUAUGUCAUGUAGCGGUGAAAUGCUUAGAUAUGACAUAGAACACCAAUUGCGAAGGCAGCUCACUACACGGUCAUUGACACUGCGGCACGAAAGCGUGGGGAGCGAACAGG